rnacentral:rRNA from 2 species
UUUCCGGGCUUGCUCGGAAAUUAGUGGCGAGCGGCUGAGUAACGCGUAGGUGACCUACCCCGUAGUGAGGAAUAACUGCCCGAAAGGGUAGCUAAUACCUCAUGUUGAGACGCUUUCAUUAGCGUCUCCAAAGCAGCAAUGCGCUAUGGGCGGGGCCUGCGUUCGAUUAGCUAGUUGGUGAGGUAAUGGCUCACCAAGGCGACGAUCGAUAGGUGGUCUGAGAGGACGAUCACCCAGACUGGGACUGAGACACGGCCCAGACUCC